UGUUAUGUGGGCCGAAUGCAUUUACAAGAGCAUCCUCCAGAAUCGGCCGAACGGCAGACCCUUGGUUCUUGUAGAGGAGAAAUUAUUCAGAGAGAGAUGCAGAAAGCGCUGAGAGUGUAUGGCGAGGUUCUAAGGCUCGUGAGGCGUCUACCGGAGGACACGAGGCCUUAUUACGGCAAAUAUUUGCGUGAAAACUUCGUUAACUACAGAGAGGUCGACGCCAACGACACUACUGCCCUCGACGAGCUCUUCCGCCGAGCCUACAAUCACUCCCUCUGGGUCCUCAAUAAGUAUUCAGUUGAUGAAUCGGCCGCUAAUAAUCUGAAGGAGAUUUGUUGUGGUUGAAAAGAAAACAAGAAAGAGUACAACUCAGCUUCAAUUACUGGUGGAGUUGGCAAGACUUACCUGUUGAUGAUCACUAGAAGACUAGAGAUUAUCACCUCCAAUGGCUGCUAGGCUUGUUGACUGCUGCUAGUGAUAGAACUUAUCCAGGGCUGCCAGUAUUACCCAAUGACCACCAAAGUUGUCAACAACCAUGAGUCACCUUUUUACCCUCUUUAUUUAUUUAUUUAUUUUUCCUUUCUUUUUCUUUUUUUUUCUUUUGAAAGACUUAUGUAGAUAUCUAGAUCUCUUAUGAGAUGUAGCACCAAACAUAGGAUAAGAUGAGGCAGACCCUGUCCUGUACUAUCCUAUCCCCUGUCGUGCUAAAUAAACAGGGUUUUAUUUUGUUAUCUGUACUAUAUUUACUCAAGAAACCUUUUCAUGCUUAUCUUUUAUGUAUGCACAUGCAUCAUUGGCCAGAUGCAUGAAAUUUGAGGAUUUUAUGGAGGUGAAAUGCACUUAGGAAAAAGUCUCUCCCCCCAAUUUUGUCUUGACCUAAAUUGGAGCUUGGAAUAAUACUCAAUAAUGGAGCAAUACAUCCUUUCAGGGUGUUCUGCACUAUUGGGCCAACACCUUUGUGUUUGUCAUGUUUUCCAUGCUUUUCAUGCCAUGAUGAAAGAUAGCUGUAAAUUUGGGCUUGUAAUCUCAAUUUCGUAGCAAGUAAUGGAACAUGUGUACAGGGUGCAAUGCUUACUCUAAUAUCAUUGAGGUGACAGAUUCAGUUUGUAUGCUAUUGGUCCAAAAUUAUGUCGGUGCUUAAAAUGGUCAACAUUAGCUUGAGCAAGUGCCAGGUUUUAUUUCAUACGUUUGAUUUCCUGUUCAUUAUUCAACUUAAGGGUGGUUUUGGCUUUUCAUGGAUUUUAAGAAUCUAUUUAUCUUCCAGAUGAGAAGUUGCGUGUUCAUAGAAGCGAUGGUUGUUAAGUAGUUUUGUUGGCAUUGUUGUUGAAUUAGCAGCCUAUGUUAACCUCUAUGGCUGUGGUCUUCUGUCAUUCUUCAGGUUGAAGCUUGCUUGUCAUUCUACGCCUUAAGCUUUCUCUUUCUUCAAGUUGGCAUAUGGUAAAGCUUGGAGAUAUGGCACUAUUUUGACUUCACUGAUUAAUAACACCAGCUUAAGAAAAUAGUGGAGAGCAUCAUUGUUAGCCUUCAGUUUCCUUCAUUAAUUAUCAGAACAGUUUGCUGAAAACUAUAAUACUUUCUAGCUUAGCAGACCAAUCUCCAGAAUUUGGUUCAAGGGAAAUUAGAAUCAAAAAGUUUUCUAAUAA